rnacentral:rRNA from 1 species
UACGAAGGGGGCUAGCGUUGUUCGGAAUUACUGGGCGUAAAGCGCGUGUAGGCGGGUCUCUAAGUCAGGGGUGAAAUGCCAAGGCUCAACCUUGGAACUGCCUUUGAUACUGGAGACCUUGAGUCCGGGAGAGGUGAGUGGAAUUGCGAGUGUAGAGGUGAAAUUCGUAGAUAUUCGCAAGAACACCAGUGGCGAAGGCGGCUCACUGGCCCGGAACUGACGCUGAGACGCGAAAGCGUGGGGAGCAAACAGGG